UACGUAGGUGGCGAGCGUUGUCCGGAUUUACUGGGCGUAAAGAGCGCGCAGGCGGUCGAUCAAGUCUGAUGUGAAAGCCCCCGGCUCAACUGGGGAGGGUCAUUCGAUACUGGUCGACUCGAAGGCAGGAGAGGGAAGCGGAAUUCCCGGUGUAGUGGUGAAAUGCGUAGAUAUCGGGAGGAACACCAGUGGCGAAGGCGGCUUCCUGGCCUGUUCUUGACGCUGAGGCGCGAAAGCUAGGGGAGCAAACGGG
rnacentral:rRNA from 1 species